AUUGAACGCUGGCGGCAGGCCUAACACAUGCAAGUCGAGCGGAUGAAGGGAGCUUGCUCCUGGAUUCAGCGGCGGACGGGUGAGUAAUGCCUAGGAAUCUGCCUGGUAGUGGGGGAUAACGUCCGGAAACGGGCGCUAAUACCGCAUACGUCCUGAGGGAGAAAGUGGGGGAUCUUCGGACCUCACGCUAUCAGAUGAGCCUAGGUCGGAUUAGCUAGUUGGUGGGGUAAAGGCCUACCAAGGCGACGAUCCGUAACUGGUCUGAGAGGAUGAUCAGUCACACUGGGAAUGAGACACGGUCCAGACUCCUACGGGAGGCAGCAGUGGGGAAUAUUGGACAAUGGGCGAAAGCCUGAUCCAGCCAUGCCGCGUGUGUGAAGAAGGUCUUCGGAUUGUAAAGCACUUUAAGUUGGGAGGAAGGGCAGUAAGUUAAUACCUUGCUGUUUUGACGUUACCAACAGAAUAAGCACCGGCUAACUUCGUG
rnacentral:rRNA from 1 species